UUAAUAGAACCAAUAUUUUACGCAUUGUAUUUGUAAAGUAAAACUGGUCCCAUCGAAUCCGCUUCAGACAACCUGAGAAAGCACAAGUGCAUAACGCCAGAUACUAGGAUACCAAAGGGGUUUCCAGCUGAGGUCCUUGAGCAUUUGAGAUACACUUGCGUCCCUUUUGUAGAAGCGUUGAACAAAUCGGGCACAAAAGAAUUCUUGUGUUUUGUCACCUCUUUUAGCAAGUACCUCUACCUUCCAAGACAUAUUCGAUACUAGAAUCAACUUCACCAAACAGUAUAUCAAUUGCUGUCUGAGAACAUUUAAAUUAAACAAGUUUGUUUGCUCAUCUGGUUGACGCACAAAAAAUAUAACAUGAAUGACACCGACAUGACGGAUAUAAACACUUAUUCUAGUUCUUUCGAUUAUGGUUAUCUUUAUUCAAAUACGAACUUCGUCAGAGCCGGAAUGGCUAGUGCCUAUUUAACGAUAAUAAUUUGCGUUGCAGCCAUUUUUGAAAACGCAUUCGUAAUCUUCACUGUCUGUUGCGUCCCGAACCUAAGGAAAAAGUCAAGUGUUUUGAUAGUUAAUCUUGCAGUCGUCGAUUUGAUAAGUGGGUGUCUUAACUUCACUAUUAUAGUUCUGGUCCUAUCAACUAUCGAGUACAUUGAGAAUGCAAUUUAUAUUU